UAAGCUUAUCGCCCAGGGUGGGAAGGCCGCUGUAUGCGGUACGUACCUCUUCAACUGGGCCGUAAAAACU
rfam:Hepacivirus hominis isolate HCV153 polyprotein gene, complete cds